UCCGGACACCGGUGCAGGGAGGACAAGGUGGAAGAGGAGAGAGGAGGAGGGGGCAGCAGCAAGGAAAAGAGCAGGUGCGUUGAAGAUACGCUACAACUGCCGCAGCUAUCAACGUGGUGGCGAGCAGUACUGCCAGCAGUACAUACAUCUUGUUAAAACAACGGUUCCCUCACGGAGGAGCCUCCUGUGCGGAGUGGUCAGUGCAAGCGAACCGGACACUUUUUUUGAAAACUUUCGUAAAGGCAACGCAAGUAACGAAGUCCAUACCUGACGCGAGGAUGUGCGUAAAUAAAUAAAUAAAUAAAUAAAUAAAUAAAUAAAUAAAUAAAUAAAAAUAAAUAAA